CAGAAUAACCAAGUGGUCUAAGGUGAUUGUCUCAAGAACAAUAGUAUUUAUUACACGUAGGUUCGAAUCCUGCUUCUGC